UGUAGGCGGUUCGGUAAGUUAAAGGUGAAAUGCCAGGGCUUAACCCUGGAGCUGCUUUUAAUACUGCCAGACUAGAGUCCGGGAGAGGAUAGCGGAAUUCCUAGUGUAGAGGUGAAAUUCGUAGAUAUUAGGAGGAACACCAGUGGCGAAGGCGGCUAUCUGGUCCGGUACUGACGCUGAGGUGCGAAAGCG
rnacentral:rRNA from 1 species